rnacentral:rRNA from 1 species
GAAUUGCGAUAAGUAAUGUGAAUUGCAGAUUUCCAGUGAAUCAUCGAAUCUUUGAACGCACCUUGCGCUCCUUGGUAUUCCGAGGAGCAUGCCUGUUUGAGUGUCAUCUAAUUCUCAACCAUGUCUACUUUGGACAUGGCUUGGAGUUGGGGGGUCUGCUGGCCCAUGCAUGGGUCAGCUCUCCUGAAAUGCAUUAGCAAAAUGGCAGACAUGCACGGCCUUUCGACGUGAUAAUGAUCGUCGUGGCUGGAGUGUCAGAUCGCCCACGUUGCUUCUAAUCGAUGUCCUUUUCGACAACGCGACGACUUGACCUCAAAUCAGGUAGGACUACCCGCUGAACUUAA